rnacentral:rRNA from 1 species
ACGGAAGGCAGCAGUGGGGAAUAUUGGGCAAUGGACGAAAGUCUGACCCAGCGACGCCGCGUGAAGGAAGAAGGUCUUCGGAUUGUAAACUUUAGUCAACAGGGACGAAGAAGACGGUACCUGUGAAGCAAGCUCCGGCUAACUACGUGCCAGCAGCCGCGGUAAUACGUAGGGAGCAAGCGUUAUCCGGAAUUACUGGGUGUAAAGGGAGUGUAGGCGGGACUGUAAGUCAGAUGUGAAAUAUACCGGCUCAACUGGUAGACUGCAUUUGAAACUGCGGUUCUUGAGUGAAGUAGAGGUAAGCGGAAUUCCUAGUGUAGCGGUGAAAUGCGUAGAUAUUAGGAGGAACAUCAGUGGCGAAGGCGGCUUACUGGGCUUUAACUGACGCUGAGGCUCGAAAGCGUGGGGAGCAAACAGGAUUAGAUACCCUGGUA